rnacentral:rRNA from 1 species
UGGGGAAUCUUCCGCAAUGGACGAAAGUCUGACGGAGCAACGCCGCGUGAGUGAUGACGGCCUUCGGGUUGUAAAGCUCUGUUAAUCGGGACGAAAGGCCUUCUUGCGAACAGUUAGAAGGAUUGACGGUACCGGAAUAGAAAGCCACGGCUAACUACGUGCCAGCAGCCGCGGUAAUACGUAGGUGGCAAGCGUUGUCCGGAAUUAUUGGGCGUAAAGCGCGCGCAGGCGGAUCAGUCAGUCUGUCUUAAAAGUUCGGGGCUUAACCCCGUGAUGGGAUGGAAACUGCUGAUCUAGAGUAUCGGAGAGGAAAGUGGAAUUCCUAGUGUAGCGGUGAAAUGCGUAGAUAUUAGGAAGAACACCAGUGGCGAAGGCGACUUUCUGGACGAAAACUGACGCUGAGGCGCGAAAGCCAGGGGAGCGAACGGGAUUAGAUACCCCGGUAGUCCUGGCCGUAAACGAUGGGUACUAGGUGUAGGAGGUAUCGACCCCUUCUGUGCCGGAGUUAACGCAAUAAGUACCCCGCCUGGGGAGUACGACCGCAAGGUUG